GCGGUGGGCUCACCUCCUCCCUAGCCUCACACCUACGUUCUUUCCUAGAGGUGUGUUACCCUAGAAAUUCCUCUCCCUUCCAGGAUUUCUCUGCUGCUGCAGCCAAUUUUCCUUCCUGCCGUGAAACUCCUCAGCAGACCCUGCCAGAAACAUCUCUUUCUCAUUUAUUUCGGGCUCCAGAGAGGCAGCGAGAGGAAGAACCCUGCAGAUGGCUCCCUGGUCUUUUCAUCAACAUGACAGCCUCCUGAGCACACACGCUGUGGAAGCCAGGGCCUGGCUCCAGAAGAGGCAGAGCCCAAUCCAGAACAGAACUGGCUUCUUCGGGAUUCCAGUGUAGACCGAGGACCAGCAGCUCUGAAGACUUCCCUGGGACUCCAGCGCCACACUGAGACAGCUGAGACAUCCAGUCUCAUGGACCGAACAACUCCAGAUCCUGGGUCUUCCCAUCAGGAGGCAGCCAUUCAUGAAUGAUUUUCAGCGUUGGAGUCACAGAAGAACCAUAGGAAAGAAAAGACCACUCCAUUCAUCUCAGAGAUGCCACUAGUCAACUUCUUCGAGAUUCUGGCAUAUACUGAAGACCAGCUGAGACAUCAGCCUGGUGGACUGAACAACUACUGGAUUCUUGGACCGUCUGUUUGAUAGACAGCCAUUGUUGAACUAGCUGGACCAUAGCAUGUUUACGCCCAUAGAUUGGUGCUGCUCACAACGCUGGCCGGGGAAGUCUCUUUCUGCGGUGCUCAGCAGUUAACGGAGAGACUCUUAACUAACUGGUCACAGUGCUGCGAAUAGUAACCACUGAGUGACCAUCUUAAGUGGGACAUUUGUAUCGACACCCCAAGGCUCUGGGGUGGAAGGAAUGUAAGCCCUGGAGAAUGGGGAGGAGUGCUGCGGCAUGCUGUCUUCUGGACACGCCCUGGCCACUGUCGCGGUGAACUCACCGCAGAUGUUCUCACCUGCACGACAUCAAGCCAACAAGAUCAGCCAACGGGGUAGCAGGCAGGCACAUUGGCUGUAGGGAGAGAAGACCUGAAGGAGGGAGGGCAUGGGUCCGGUGGCUGAGAGGGUGUGGUAGUUUGAAUGUAGUUGGUCCCCGUGACCUCACAGGGAGUGGCACUAUUAGGAGGUGUGGCCUUGUUGGAGGAAGGGUGUCACUGUGGGGGAGGGCUUUGAGGUUUCUUGUGCUUGGAAUACUGCCCAGUGAGUCAGUCAACUUCCUGUUGCCUGUGAGAUGUAGGAAUUUCAGGUAUUCCAAUACUACAUCUGCCUGCAUGCCUCUAUGUUCCCUGUCAUGCUGAUAAUGGACUGAACCCCUGAAACUGUAAGCGAGCCACCCCAAUGAAAUGUUUUCUUUAUAAGAGUUGCCAUGGUCAUGGUGUCUCUUCACAGCAAUAGAAACCUAAACAAAGACAGGGUGGGGUGGGGUGGAGUGUUGGUAAUAGUGGAUAUGAUCAAGAUACAUUGUA